rnacentral:pre_miRNA from 1 species
UAUAUUUGAUUCACGUAGAGAUUGAGAUCUAUCUUGUGCGUGAUAUCAAGUAUAAU